UAGCUGGCAGGGAAUGAAGUUCUCCCCAGGCAGUGCCUAAACCGCUAUUACAGCUGAUGACUUCUGUUGUUUA
rnacentral:ncRNA from 10 species